AAACGCUUGGGCGACUUGUCUACGAAUUGUAAUCAUAAUAUGGGCGGCGGUGAAUCCUUUGCAGACGACUUGAAUGGGAACGGGGUACUGUAAGUGGUAGAGUAGCCUUGUUGCUACGAUCCACUGAGGUUAAGCCCUUGUUCUAAAGAUUUGUUCAACUUUGUUGGACUUUCUCUUUUCUUUUUACAUGCUGAGACCUUGAGGGCCGGGAUAGUAUCCUUUGUGCACUCGCGACAGCAUGUUACUUAGAUUCGAAAGGGAAGGCU
rnacentral:rRNA from 1 species